rnacentral:rRNA from 1 species
GACGAACGCUGGCGGCGUGCUUAACACAUGCAAGUCGAACGAAGUGGCGAACGGGUGAGUAACGCGUAAUCAACCUGCCCUUCAGAGGGGGACAACAGUUGGAAACGACUGCUAAUACCGCAUACUGAAGGAGGGGAUUGCGUCGGAUUAGCUAGUUGGAGGGGUAACGGCCCACCAAGGCGAUGAGCAGUAGCCGGGCUGGGAGGAUGAACGGCCACAAUGGGGCUGAGACACGGCCCAGAAUCCCACGGGAGGCAGCAGGGGGGAAUCUUCCGCAAUGGGCGAAAGUCUGACGGAGCAACGCCGGGGUGGUGAUGACGGCCUUUGGGUUGUAAAGGUCUGUUAAUCGGGACGCGGUACCGGAAGAGAAAGCCACGGCUAACUACGUGCCAGCAGCCGCGGUAAUUC